rnacentral:lncRNA from 1 species
ACUUGCUUCCGCGCUCGUUCCCCUGGAAGGCGACCCGGACCCGAGCCCCGGAAACUCCUCUCCUCUACCCAGGGCGAUCGCCCAAGGAGCCCUGGCUGCCUGACUACUGCCGACGCUCACAGGGCGCUGCGAGGCCAUCCCCCGCGUCCCGCUUCUCCCCGGCCCGCGGGACUCUCUGCUAACAGCCUCAGAAAGUGAGGACGGGGGCGCGGAGGCGGGGGCAGCCUCCAGGCAGUGCUGCCUCUCGGUUCUUGGGAAUUAGCCCGGGGGAUUCGCGCUGGGCUCCGAGAGCCCGCAGAACCAGCGUCGUGUCCUGGGCGAGCUGGGAGGCCGGGGCCGAGUCCCGCGAGUCCCGCGAGUGUGCCUCCCCCGGACGCCUAGGUAAACAACUGAGCGCACAGAGGCCGAGAGGACAUCGUGUCUUCCCACGCAUAUUCGCUCACGGUCACUAAGUAGCUCUUCUUGGAAAGAGGGCGAUUGUUAAAGCAAUAGUGCGACUGUCGGGCUUGCCACGGGUGGAGAGAGGCGGACCCACGUCAGGUCGCAUCUCGCCUGCUUUUCUCGACCCCGACCGCAGGCGCUAACCCGUCUUCGGCUUUCUUCUUGACCCGUACGGUUUGCAACGUCUCUUAAAACAGUAACUCAACUCUCUACAAACCGGGGUAAUAUCCGGUGCUGAGAUCCCACACUGCAAGGCGCAGUUCCAAACGUCUGGUCGGCCUCGCAGGUCCCUCUUUCCAAGGCCUAGCCAGAUCUUGGUUUUGGAAUCUCAUUUAUCUGUGACCUGGGGAAUGCAAUACCCCCAGCUCCCUCCUACUCCUACAUUUAAACAAUGCCUAUAGAAGCCGCUUCCUGGGAAGUAAGGCAUAACCGAGACCUAGCCUCCCGGUAGGGAAGUUCAUCCGUUUAGUAAACAGCCCCAACUACGUGCGGACCCUCACGGGGAUACGAAGAAUUCAACCAGGGCUGGACAAGUCAGAGUGGGCCAAGGACAAGUGAGCAUUCCAGAGAAUUUCUACAUGACCAGCUGUUCAUUCUUUUAAGAGGAUGACAUUCUUCAGCUCAUCUGGAAAGGAUACUUCCUUUAAGUCUGUUAUUCACAGUCUCCAAGGGCAGGUGUAGUUGGGAAAGACAUUUCAUAUGGAAAAACAAACUUGAUAGGGUAAAAAAAAAAAAAAUGAGAUGUAAUCUGGAGGCCCAAGUCAUUUUCUUAGGAGAAACUCAAAUGUGUUUGGUGUUAUCUAACCUUCUGCAGUUUAUCAGUCUGAAACAAAUGCAUUCUAUUCUCAUUUGAAAAUGUCUGAACAGCCACCAAUUUUCAAAAUCACCCAUUUAACUAGAGACUUUAAAGCCCAGAAUUUGCAGUUACGUAUUUCAGAAUGAUUUAGUAAUUUUGUGAGCAGCUCAGAGGUUAAGUCUACAAUGUCUGACUACGGUGCAUUAUUGAAAAUAUCAGUAGUGUAAGGAUCCCGUAGAUUGGUGAUAACUUUGCUCUUGUUAUUUCAACAGUUACCACCAACAGUUGGUGACUUAACAAAUUAAGAGCAUAGUUGCCAUAUGCUCAUAUUUGGCAAAUAUGUCAAAAUGGCCAUAUUUGCCAAUUUUUAAGACAAUAAAUUCACAGAAAAUGCAUUACAGAAAAUAACUUAAAAAAAAAAAAAACAACUUUUGGGCCAGGCAUGGUGGUUCACACCUGUAAUACCAACACUCUAGGAGGCUGAGGUGAGAGGAUCCCUUGAGCCCAGGAGUUUGAAACCAACCUGGGCUACAUGGCAAGGCCUCCCUCUACAAAUGUAAAAAAAAAAUUAGCCAGGUGUGGUGGCAUGCGCCAUGUAGCCCCAGCUACUUGGGAGGCUGAGGUGGAGGACUGUUUGAGCCCAGAAGUUCAAGGUUGCAGGAGCUAGGAUCGCACCACUAUACAAGCCUGGGUGGCAGCAAGACCCUGUUUAAAAAAAAAAAAAAAUUCAGCUGUAUAUGCAAUGAAAACCUACAAGUCACUGAAAAGUUACUGAAGUUUAGAAAACUAGCCAACAAAAUCAUUGCUUUGGUAAACAAAUUUGAAAUGGCUAAUUGAAAGUACAUUUUACAGCUGGCAAUAUAAAGUUAUCUAUCAGCA